rnacentral:rRNA from 1 species
UCCGUAGGGUGCGAGCGUUAAUCGGAAUUACUGGGCGUAAAGCGUGCGCAGGCGGUUUUGUAAGCCAGAUGUGAAAUCCCCGGGCUUAACCUGGGAAUGGCAUUUGGGACUGCAAGGCUGGAGUGCGGCAGAGGAGACUGGAAUUCCUGGUGUAGCAGUGAAAUGCGUAGAUAUCAGGAGGAACACCAGUGGCGAAGGCGACUUCCUGGCCUGUUCUUGACGCUGAGGCGCGAAAGCUGGGGGAGCAAACGGG